UACGGAGGGUGCGAGCGUUGUCCGGAUUUAUUGGGUUUAAAGGGUGCGUAGGCGGCCUUGUAAGUCCGGGGUGAAAGCCCGUUGCUCAACAACGGAACUGCCCUGGAUACUGCGAGGCUUGAGUACAGACGAGGUUGGCGGAAUGGACCGAGUAGCGGUGAAAUGCAUAGAUACGGUCCAGAACCCCGAUUGCGAAGGCAGCUGACUAGGCUGUUACUGACGCUGAGGCACGACAGCGUGGGGAGCGAACAGG
rnacentral:rRNA from 1 species